rnacentral:rRNA from 1 species
UACGUAGGGUGCGAGCGUUAAUCGGAAUUACUGGGCGUAAAGCGUGCGCAGGCGGUCUGUUAAGACCGAUGUGAAAUCCCCGGGCUUAACCUGGGAACUGCAUUGGUGACUGGCAGGCUUUGAGUGUGGCAGAGGGGGGGUAGAAUUCCACGUGUAGCAGUGAAAUGCGUAGAGAUGUGGAGGAAUACCGAUGGCGAAGGCAGCCUCCUGGGCCAACACUGACGCUCAUGCACGAAAGCGUGGGGAGCAAACAGG